AUACCCCCUGAGAAACAUCUACUUCCGGACAGAAAGAGGUAAAAAAUAGGUCAGUAUGUCAAAAAAGAGCCUAGGAAUAUAGGGAAACCCCAGCAAGACCUAUCCAGAGGCAGGCAGCUAGGACACCCUGGUAGUCAGAAGGUGUUGCCUGCGUUCUGCUUGCAGAUGUUGGUCUGCCCAAUGGACAGUGGGCAGUGUCACAGAGAUCCUGGGAUACUGUGAUUCUUUCAUCCUGUUCCUUAAAGGGUCCUGUGGGUCUUCACCUGGAAGACUGGACACUCGUAGAGAAGAGCAAUAGUGACCAUUGUAUACAGUGAAGUGGAACUGAGAGAAGUUUCAUCAGAUGUGAUGACCGAGGCUGCAGAGUCACAAGCUGUUUCUCCAUUUAAGGUCCAAACUGAGAAGACUGGACAAAAGCUGAGCCAGAUGGAGGACACUGAUAUAAGGCAGGACCACUUAUCUGUCACUCCUGUCUGGCCACAUAGAGUAAGCCAGCUCUGGAUGUAUUUUACAAUUCACCUUCAUUCUACCAGUAACAGAGAGAGGCUCCAUGAGGCCUUGUUCCUUCAGACAUAAGCAGCUAUAUGAUGACAAAUGGACUGUGAAUGCUGAUAACUGAAAUGAUACCAAGUCACAGCCUCCCAAUGAAGUGAGAAGUUAAGAUUGAAACAUUUGGAUUUCUAGAGCUCCGGGACCACCUUGUCAGAUCACAAAUCAAGGGUUAAUCUCUGCAGCAAAUGAUAUUUAGAUUCUACUAUAUUUAUCUUGGAACGCUAGGACGUAAGCCCACGGAAGGUGGAUACUAACCUUUCUCAACCGCCAUACUGUCUGGGCACCAGUUAUGAGGAAAAGUGAAAGUUAGAAUUAUGUUCUUCAAUUAAAGAAGAUCUCAGAAGAUGGAAAGAUCUCCCAUGCUCAUGGAUUGGCAGGAUCAACAUUGUAAAAAU
rnacentral:lncRNA from 1 species